rnacentral:rRNA from 1 species
AGUCCAUUGACUUGGACAAUAUCUUUAUUAAUGUGACCUCAAAUCAGGUAGGACUACCCGCUGAACUUAAGCAUAUCAAUAAGCGGAGGGAAAAGAAACUAACAAGGAUUCCCCUAGUAACUGCGAGUGAAGCGGGAAAAGCUCAAAUUUAAAAUCUGGCAGUCUUUGGCUGUCCGAGUUGUAAUCUAGAGAAGUGCUAUCCGCGCUGGACCGUGUACAAGUCUCCUGGAAUGGAGCGUCAUAGAGGGUGAGAAUCCCGUCUUUGACACGGACUCCCAGGGCUUUGUGAUGCGCUCUCAAAGAGUCGAGUUGUUUGGGAAUGCAGCUCAAAAUGGGUGGUAAAUUCCAUCUAAAGCUAAAUAUUGGCGAGAGACCGAUAGCGAACAAGUACCGUGAGGGAAAGAUGAAAAGAACUUUGGAAAGAGAGUUAAACAGUACGUGAAAUUGCUAAAAGGGAAACGCUUGAAGUCAGUCGCGUUGUCCAGGGAUCAACCUUGCUUUUGCUUGGUGCACUUUCUGGUUAACGGGUCAGCAUCAAUUUUGAUCAUUGGAAAAAGAUUAGGGGAAUGUGACAUCUUUGGAUGUGUUAUAGCCCUUGGUUGCAUGCAAUGGUUGGGAUUGAGGAACUCAGCACGCCGCAAGGCCGGGUUUUUAACCACGUACGUGCUUAGGAUGCUGGCAAAAUGGCUUUAAUCGACCCGUCUGG